rnacentral:lncRNA from 1 species
ACUCUGCGCGCCCUCGGCUGCGGGGUAGCGGGCAGCCCUGCGCUGCCGGCCGCCUAGCCUGCACCCCCCGCCCUGGGAGGGAAGCCUCGCUCCAGCCGCGUCGUUUCCGCGCCGAAGUGCGAUCCGGGGCCCCGCGCUGGAGUCCCCUGCUCUCAGGCUGGUCUGGAAGGUGGUGGUGGGGUUCAGGGUCCCCGGAAAGCUGGGGUUCCAGGGUAAACACCAGUACACAAACAAAGCGGUGGGGGAGGGGAAAGAAAAAGUUUUUCCGUUUGGUGUUGGGGCUAAAAGGGUCAUGUCAGAAAGCAGUGUGCUCUAUGUGUUCUUAAUGCCUAAAGUGGGCCUUAAAACAAGGGUCCCUGUCCCCACGUUCUCUCUAAAAGUCUGCAUGAUGUCCCUCGUCAUUUCUACGGGUUAUAAGUGAGCAAGACGUUUACCACGUAUCACACUUCUGGGGGCUAUUUCAACGCCCAAGCUGGGGCUGCAGAAUGGUUUCUGUUCUAAUCCUCCCCCGCGAUUUCCACCUCUUUACACUCAACUCACAGAAAAUAGAGUCUGAUGCAUUCUGUGUUUCAUCACCGGUCAAAAGUGACUUUGAGGGUAGGGUGGAGGCCUGAGAAGGGCAGCUUCAGGCAAUAGUAAUCCUGAAAUUUAUCAUUGCUCAAAAUAAAUGUGCUCACCUUAUUAAAAAGUACAACGGAAAGCCACCUUUAAGAUAAGUAGCAACCAAGUCGUUAAACAGCAGUCUUCAAGGAAGAACUCCUGAUCUCAUAAGGCUGGAGAAAAAACGGGGUUAGCCUUUGCUGGUGAAAAAAAAAAAAAAAGACAUUCGAAACUGCAGUGAAGGGCUUUCAUAACAGAAACAUUAGCUUCAUUGUAGCUUGUCGUGGAAAACAGGGACCUUUUAAUAGGUGGUUCAAAAGCAUCAGUUAGGGCUCAACAAUUUUCCUUUUUUCCCCAAAUACUGCUUCUCCUAGCACAUUGGCCAGAUAAAACCUCCCCCCUUUCAAUGCUUCAUCUUUUUAUGAAAACACAGGAAACCAUAAACUUGAGUGAAGGCUUUGUUCAGAAAGGUGGAUGUAAGACUGAUGGAAAAUGACAUUUGGGAAAUGAUCCCCAGGUCUGUGUUAAUCUCUCAUGGAAAGCCACAGACUCACCCAAAGAUAGGCGUAUGAAGAUCGAAGCUCUCCUAGCAACAUGAAAUCCUCCACGUUGCAGCUGCUACGCCCUAGUUCUGAUUUUUACUAAGACAUUAAUGGCACAUUAUAAAUACAAAAUGUGCAAUGCAAGAAAAAUAAUACUGCUUUGAGAAAUAACUGCAUCAUUAGACUCAAUAAUUAAAGUUCCCUGAAAUUCUUCUUACAUCACGCUAUUGUGGGGAGAUGGUGAAGGGAUUGCCCAUUUCAAUUUUGGAAUAAAUAGAAGUAAUUCCUUAGUGCAUUCUGCUUAAGGCAACCAAUGAGAGAAUAUGUUAGCCAGGCUUCUAAAGGCAAUCAUGUGAUACUCCAUAUUUGCUAAAACAAGAGCUGAAUAUUUUUUUUGUUCCAUAUGCAAUUCCAAAUUUUCAGUCACAAUUUCAUGAAUAUUCAGUAUUUCUGCAUGCCCAGGAGUAAUUAGCAGACAGUGUAAAUGUGUGAAGGCCUGACACUUACACAUACAUUGCUUUUUUCUCUAUGUAAGGUGGCAGUUGCUGGAGUACCAGGGCACCAAGUGGAGGAUGUGGUAGACAGCCUCUAAGAUGCGCCCCCUGCCAAUGAUCUCUGCCUCCAGGGAGGAGCUAGAAGGCAGAGAGAAAGCCACUCAGGACUUCCCAUCCCAGAAGAUAAAGGUGAGGAAAGCAGCAGCAGCAGCCACAGGCCAGUAUUCCAGAGCAGCUUUGGGUUCCUGUCAAGACCUGCUUUGAGAAGGAGGUGGCUGUGGGGCUGGAGGGCUGGGCCUGUUCCUGAGCUGGCUGCUGGCAGCACAGCAAUGAGGCAACAUUGAGAACUGCGACACGAGGCCCAGUCCUGCUACUAAACCAACUGUGUGGACUUGCAUAGUCACUUCACCCCUCGGGCCUCCAUUUCUCCACUUUGGAAAGCAGUGUUGGGACGAUGUUAAGGGUUUGCAACCUUCCAACAUGAAGACUUAUUUUUAAAAGCAAAACAUUUCAAAGAGUCCACAUGACAGUAGUGUUCAUUUUGGCAUCUGUUGAUUUAACAAAUACAAAAUUAGGCUGG